rnacentral:rRNA from 1 species
AGUGAACGCUGGCGGUAGGCCUAACACAUGCAAGUCGAACGGCAGCACAGUAAGAGCUUGCUCUUACGGGUGGCGAGUGGCGGACGGGUGAGGAAUACAUCGGACUCUACUUUUUCGUGGGGGAUAACGUAGGGACACUUACGCUAAUACCGCAUACUACCUACGGGUGAAAGCAGGGGAUCUUCGGACCUUGCGCGAUUGAAUGAGCCGAUGUCGGAUUAGCUAGUUGGCGGGGUAAAGGCCCACCAAGGCGACGAUCCGUAGCUGGUCUGAGAGGAUGAUCAGCCACACUGGAACUGAGACACGGUCCAGACUCCUACGGGAGGCAGCAGUGGGGAAUAUUGGACAAUGGGCGCAAGCCUGAUCCAGCCAUACCGCGUGGGUGAAGAAGGCCUUCGGGUUGUAAAGCCCUUUUGUUGGGAAAGAAAAGCAGCAGGUUAAUACCCCGCUGUUCUGACGGUACCCAAAGAAUAAGCACCGGCUAACUUCGUG